AGUGAACGCUGGCGGUAGGCCUAACACAUGCAAGUCGAACGGAAACACACUAAGAGCUUGCUCUUCCGGGUGGCGAGUCGCGUACGGAAGACGAAUAUAUCGGACUCUACUUUUUCGUGUGGGCUAACGUAGGUAAGGUUACUCCCAUAUCGGAGCUGCUCUACGGGUGUAAGCAUGGGAACUUUUGACCUUGCGCGGAUGAACGCGCCGAUCACGGGUUAGCUAGUUGGCGAGUUAAAGGCCCACCAAGGCGACGAUCCGUAGCUGGUCUGAGAGGAUGAUCAGCCACACUGGAACUGAGACACGGUCCAGACUCCUACGGGAGGCAGCAGUGGGGAAUAUUGGACAAUGGGCGCAAGCCUGAUCCAGCCAGACCGCGUGGGUGAAGAAGGCCUUCGGGUUGUAAAGCCCUUUUGUUGGGAAAGAAAAGCAGCAGGUUAAUACCCCGCUGUUCUGACGGUACCCAAAGAAUAAGCACCGGCUAACUUCGUG
rnacentral:rRNA from 1 species